CAGCCGUGAGGAAAAACUACCUGUGCCGGAGGCAUUACAUGUCUAUGACGGCUACACAACCCUCUAAGAAGUUCUGAGCUG